CUGUUUUUCUGUAGCGGUUACCAAAUUAUGAGCAAAGGAAAAUAUGAUGACAAAAUUUAGUUUUUAUUUGUAUAGCCCCAGCGAGUUAACGCUCCAUAGAGCGUCUUGUUUAUAUGAAAUUUCUUUAUCUUUUUACAAUGUUUCCUGCUCAAUUUGAGAUAUUUUUCUACAGCUUGGGACGCAAUAUAAUUUGGCUUGUAUAAUACUAUAGUCUUCCUAGCCAUCGAAAAAGUAAUUUUUAAGUAAAGAUAAAAACCCCAUAUAAUUCUCUAGUUUGUCCAGUAUUUCCUCAGGCGUCCAGUGUCGUUCAGGUGAAAGGAGUGCUUCGGUCCACGAAUCCAUUACAACCCUUAUACCAAACU